GGCGGCGUAGCCAAGAGGUAAGGCGAGGGUCUGCAAAACCCUUAUACCCCGGUUCGAUUCCGGG
rnacentral:tRNA from 1 species